UGGCGAACGGGUGAGUAACACGUGGGUGAUCUGCCCUGCACUUCGGGAUAAGCCUGGGAAACUGGGUCUAAUACCGGAUAGGACGAUGGUUUGGAUGCCAUUGUGGAAAGUUUUUCGGUGUGGGAUGAGCUCGCGGCCUAUCAGCUUGUUGGUGGGGUAAUGGCCUACCAAGGCGUCGACGGGUAGCCGGCCUGAGAGGGUGUACAGCCACAUUGGGACUGAGAUACGGCCCAG
rnacentral:rRNA from 1 species